rnacentral:rRNA from 1 species
AAAUUGAAGAGUUUGAUCAUGGCUCAGAUUGAACGCUGGCGGCAGGCCUAACACAUGCAAGUCGAACGGUAACAGGAAGCAGCUUGCUGCUUUGCUGACGAGUGGCGGACGGGUGAGUAAUGUCUGGGAAACUGCCCGAUGGAGGGGGAUAACUACUGGAAACGGUAGCUAAUACCGCAUAACGUCGCAAGACCAAAGAGGGGGACCUUAGGGCCUCUUGCCAUCGGAUGUGCCCAGAUGGGAUUAGCUAGUAGGUGGGGUAACGGCUCACCUAGGCGACGAUCCCUAGCUGGUCUGAGAGGAUGACCAGCCACACUGGAACUGAGACACGGUCCAGACUCCUACGGGAGGCAGCAGUGGGGAAUAUUGCACAAUGGGCGCAAGCCUGAU